CUGGUUGAUUCUGCCAGUGGUCAUAUGCUUGUCUCAAAGAUUAAGCCAUGCAUGUCUAAGCACAAGCUAAAGAAAGUGAAGCCGCGAAUAGCUCAUUACAACAGCCAUUGUUUACUUGAUCUUGAAAUCCUACUUGGAUAACUGUGGCAAUUCUAGAGCUAAUACACGCAAACAAGCUCUGACCUUCGGGGAAGAGUGCAUUUAUUAGAACAAAACCAAUCGGACUUCGGUCUGUUAUUUGGUGACUCUGAAUAACUCAGCUGAUCGCAUGGUCUAGUACCAGCGACGCAUCUUUCAAGUGUCUGCCUUAUCAACUGCUGAUGGUAGUUUAUGUGACUACCAUGGUUAUAACGGGUAACGGAGAAUAAGGGUUCGACUCCGGAGAGGGAGCCUGAGAAACGGCUACCACAUCCAAGGAAGGCAGCAGGCGCGCAAAUUACCCACUCUCGGCAAGAGGAGGUAGUGACGAAAAAUAACGAGACGGUUCUCAAUGAGGCCCGUUAUCGGAAUGAGUACAAUCUAAACCCUUUAACGAGGAUCUAUCAGAGGGCAAGUCUGGUGCCAGCAGCCGCGGUAAUUCCAGCUCUGAAGGUGUAUACCACCGUUGUUGCGGUUAAAACGCUCGUAGUUGGAUCUUCGUUCGUGGAAGUGGUUCUCUCCAAUGAGAGUUACUGCUCACCUGAACUGAUAUAGCUGGUUUUCCUUUGUCGGCCUUUACUGGUUGACAUUGUUGGCUAGCAAAUUUACUUUGAAAAAAUUAGAGUGCUCAAAACAGGCGAAUGCCUGAAUAAUGGUGCAUGGAAUAAUGGAAUAGGAUCUUGGUCCUAUUUUGUUGGUUUUCUGGUCCAAGAUAAUGAUUAAGAGGGACAGACGGGGGCAUUCGUAUUGCAACGUUAGAGGUGAAAUUCUUGGAUCGUUGCAAGACGAACAACUGCGAAAGCAUUUGCCAAGAAUGUUUUCAUUAAUCAAGAACGAAAGUUAGAGGUUCGAAGGCGAUCAGAUACCGCCCUAGUUCUAACCGUAAACGAUGCCAACUAGCGAUCUGACGGCGUUAUGUUUUGACCUGUCAGGGAGCUUCCCGGAAACGAAAGUUUUUCGGUUCCGGGGGAAGUAUGGUUGCAAAGCUGAAACUUAAAGGAAUUGACGGAAGGGCACCACCAGGAGUGGAGCCUGCGGCUUAAUUUGACUCAACACGGGAAAACUCACCCGGCCCGGACACCGUAAGGAUUGACAGAUUGAUAGCUCUUUCUUGAUUCGGUGGGUGGUGGUGCAUGGCCGUUCUUAGUUGGUGGAGCGAUUUGUCUGGUUAAUUCCGAUAACGAACGAGACUCUAUCCUACUAAAUAGCAAGCGGAUUUGAAUCGUCCGCAGUGCUUCUUAGAGGGACAAGCAGCUUAUAGCUGCGCGAAAAUGAGCAAUAACAGGUCUGUGAUGCCCUUAGAUGUCCGGGGCUGCACGCGCGCUACACUGAAAGGUUCAGCGUGCAAGAAACCUUACCUGAAAAGGUUGGGUAACCCAAUCAAAUCCUUUCGUGAUUGGGAUAGGAGAUUGCAAUUAUUCUCCUUGAACGAGGAAUUCCCAGUAAGUGCGGGUCGUCAGCUCGCGCUGAUUACGUCCCUGCCCUUUGUACACACCGCCCGUCGCUGCCCGGAACUGAGCCGUUUCGAGAAGAACAGGGACUGCUGGUUGUUGGCUCUUUGGGGCUGGCUCUCAGCGGAAACUGUUUUAAUCGGUAUGGCUUGAACCGGGCAAAAGUCGUAACAAGGUUUCCGUAGGUGAACC
rnacentral:rRNA from 1 species